UUCCCUCUGAAGUUUCCCUUAAGAUAGCUGGAGCUUAGGAUGAGUUUUAUCGGGUAAAGCCAAUGAUUAGAAGCAUCGGGGGUUCAACGCCCUCGACCUAUUCUCAAACUUUAAAUAGGUAGGACAGCAUGGCUGCUUCAUUGAGCCGGGCCACGGAAUCGAGUGCUCCAACUGGGCCAUUUUUGGUAAGCAGAACUGGCAAUGCAGGAUGAACCGGAAGCCAGGUUAUGAUGCCCAACUGCGCGCUAACCUAGAACCCACAAAGGGUGUUGGUCGAUUAAGACAACAAGAUAGUGAUCAUGGAAGUCGAAAUCCAUUGAGUGUGUAACAACUCACCUACCGAAUCAACGAGCCCCAAAAAUGGAUGGCGCUUAAGCGCGCGACCUAUACCCAGUCGUCGAGGUAAGAGAUAGGCCUUGAUGAGUAGGAGGGCGUGGCGGUCGCUGCAAAACCUAGGGCGCGAGCCCAUGCAGAGCGGCCAUCGGUG
rnacentral:ncRNA from 1 species